AUUGAACGCUGGCGGCAGGCCUAACACAUGCAAGUCGAGCGAGCGGCGGACGGGUGAGUAAUGUCUGGGGAUCUGCCCGAUAGCGGGGGAUAACUACUGGAAACGGUGUCUAAUACCGCAUACUAUCGGAUGAACCCAUAUGGGAUUAGCUAGUAGGUGGGGUAAAGGCUCACCUAGGCGACGAUCUCUAGCUGGUCUGAUAGGAUGAUCAGCCACACUGUGACUGAGAUACGGCCCAGACUCCUACGGGAGGCAGCAGUGGGGAAUAUUGCACAAUGGGCGCAAGCCUGAUGCAGCGAGGCCGCGUGUAUGAAGAAGGACGUAGGGUUGUAAAGUACUGUCAGCGGGGGGGCGUUACCCGCAGAAGAAGCACCGGCUAACUCCGUGCCAGCAGCCGCGGUAAUUC
rnacentral:rRNA from 1 species